GCUGGACAAUUGUCCGAGAUCAGCGGCGCCCUGUGCUCAGUACAGCCGGAGGUCUACAUUACAGAAACCCCCCAAUAAUCUGUAAAUCCCGAGCCCCGGGUGUUCUCCACCGCAGCUACGAGACGAGCUGUGCUCGGAGACUGAGGGGUUAAUCCG